rnacentral:lncRNA from 1 species
AGAUUUUGUUAGUAAAAUUUUUGCUGUAAUGUCUUCCCCUCCAUCCGUAACCUCAACUUGUGAUCAAGGUAAGUAUAGUUGGCUGUAUAUUUCAUAAGGUCAAUGACAUUCCUUAUUUUAUCUACUGUGAAGUGAAGUUAUUGAAAUAAACUUUGCUUUGCUUUUGUUUGAAAGUUACUCUUUAAGUAGUGGUGUCACCACAGUAAAUAUUGUUAUUUGGAUUUCUUUGUGUUUAUUUUAUCACAGGUGAUCCUUUCAAGGAUGAUCCUUUUGGAAAAAUCGAUCCAUUUGGUGGUGAUCCUUUCAAAGGUUCAGAUCCAUUUGCAUCAGACUGUUUCUUCAGGCAAUCUACUGAUCCUUUUGCCACUUCAAGCACUGACCCUUUCAGUGCAGCCAACAAUAGCAGUAUUACAUCGGUAGAAACGUUGAAGCACAAUGAUCCUUU